rnacentral:lncRNA from 1 species
UAAUCCCAUUUCUAGAGCUCGCCAAGCUAAUAGCUCAAAGGGGUCACAAAAUCUCCUUUAUAUCUACUCCACGAAACAUCCAGCGUUUACCAACUAUACCUCCAAAUUUAACACCACGAAUCAAUUUAGUGAGCCUCGCUUUACCCCAUGUAGAAAAUCUCCCAAACAACGCAGAGGCCACCGCAGACUUGCCUUUCGACAAAAUUCCAUACCUUAAGAUAGCCUAUGACAGACUCCAAGAUUCUUUAUUUCACUUCUUACAUUCUUCUUCUCCAGAUUGGAUCAUCUUUGAUUUCGCUUCCUACUGGUUACCUGAGAUAGCAACCAAGCUUGGGAUCUCUGGUGUUCUCUUUAGCAUUUUUGGUGCAUGGACCCUAUCCUUCGCUGGACCAUCAUACUCAGCAAUACUCAACGGCGACGAUCCAAGGACCGAACCGCAGCACUUCACGGUCCCUCCAAAGUGGGUCACAUUUCCCUCUAAAGUGGCAUUUCGCAUCCAUGAAGCUAAGCGGUUUUUGGUUCAAAUAGAAGCGAACAGUUCAGGUGUCACUGAUAUAUUUCGUUGGGGAUCCGUGCUUGCUGGCUGUGAUGUUAUAGCCGUAAGGAGCUGCUUAGAGCUAGAGGCUGAUUUCUUAAGACUUGUGGAAGACCUUCACUGUAAGCCUGUAAUCCCAGUAGGCCUACUGCCACCACCUGCUCAGUGUAGCGAGGGCGGGGUGGAUGAAAAAUGGGUUACGAUCAGUGAGUGGCUAGACAAGCAAACCCAAGGAUCUGUGGUUUACAUAGCGUUCGGAAGCGAGUUAACAAUAAAUCAAGAUGAAAUAACUGAAUUGGCUCUGGGGUUAGAGUUAUCGGGUCUGCCGUUCUUUUGGGCUUUGAGGAACCAGGAUGACUCGGUCAGGUUACCAGAUGGAUUUGAUGAACGAGUAAAAGGACGUGGAGUGGUGUGGACGAGCUGGGCACCACAACUAAGGAUUAUGGCUCAUGAAUCGGUUGGGGGUUUUUUGACUCACUGCGGUUAUAGCUCAGUUAUAGAGGCACUCUCCUUUGGACUUGCUUUGAUCAUGUUGCCUUUCGCUAUAGACCAAGGAUUAAUCGCAAGGGUUUUUGAAGGGAAGAAGGUUGGGAUAGAAGUGCCGAGAGAUGAGCAGGACGGGUCGUUUACGAGGAACUCGGUAGCUGAGUCACUCAGGUUGGUUAUUGUUGACAGGGAAGGAUCCGCCUAUAGAGAAAAUGCCAAGCAGCAGAUGGUAACAUUAUUUGGUGAUAAGAGUAUCAGCGAUCGAUGCAUGGACCAAUUUGUUGCCUUCCUACGAAGUCAUAGAAAAUUGCCAGCAGUGAUUAACAAUGACCUGCCCACGCACUCGCCAAACUGACACGUGUCAAUGCUUAUGUGUCGUGUCAUCUGGUUCUUCACUAGGUUUUUUUAAAAAGAGUCCGGAGGUUUAGACUCUAGAGUGCCUUUUUACUGUGUUUUUUUGUUUGUUUGUCUGUUUAUGUAGUGUAUAAAUAGACCAUUGAGUCGCUUCCUGAAACUAAAAUUUGUUUUCGAGAAAUUUAUGUAUUAUAUUAUAUCUAAAUAUUUACUUUAUUAAUUAUUAACAAAAAAACUGGAACUUCAAAAAACACAAAGGUACUACAAAAUUGAAAGCCGUGAUUGUCGGCAGGCAUUUGCGAAGAGAGGGGCCAUCAGCCAUGGCCCGUAGGAAGGAGGACUGUGGCUAAGAUUCCUUUAGGUUUUUUACCUGUCUCCCUCACUAAUAUUUUACUUUCUUCUGAAAAAAGGAAUUGCACAUUAAUCUCAUAUCUAAUUUCCAGCAAAUUCAUGCUAAUUAAAAAUCAUAUUUUCAUAUUGAAACAUUUUAACACAGAAAGAUCCACCGACAUUUGAAAAUUUCCCUUUCUGUUUAUUACACAACUUUCUCUGGAAAAUAAAUAGUCAGGUUCACAGAAAGCUUGGGGAAAUUUCUCACCGAUUAGUCACUGAUAGAAAGCCUAAACACGUGUUCUGCAAUGAUCUGCGCAGAUCCGUUAAUCUCCGGUGGGCGGUCAUUCACGAGGAAAUUUAAUUACGAGCGAUGGCAUUAUUGGCAUGCCCUACUCAAUUAUUUUUUGAGAAGUGACAUCUUAACUCCCUAUGCUCCAAAGGAAUACCUACCUACAAGAUCCCAAGCCAAGAGAAAAUGGAACGAAGAUGUCCACAUCAAAUAUAUAUAUAUAAAGAAGGAGGAGGAGGAGGAGGAGGAGGAACGAAGAUGUGAAAUGCAGGAGUCCAGAUCGAAGCCCACAUCAAAUAUAUAUAUAUAUAUAUAUAUAUAUAUAUAUAUAUAUAUAUAUAUAAGAUGGAGCCACGAAAAGCCACGUUAGGAAGGAAAAUAAAACAAAUCAGGAGUCAAGAUCGAAGCCCACACUUGAGAGAAGAUAAGAUUAUAAUUGAGCUGCUGGCCUGAGGCCUGUGGGUGUGCAUGCACCAGAGACAGUUGGAUAGGAGACAGACAGAGAUCAGACAUCUUGGUUUUGCAUUAGGUCCCCAUGUCAGUAAAUUUCAAACAAUUUAAGACAGAGACAGAGAAUUUAUUAAAUUAUUUUUUUUAAUAAUUUAAGACCAUAUAAUUUUAAGAUUCAAUAAAUUUAAUUUCCUUACUUUUCUCUGUGUCCGUCUCUAAUUGUGAGCCAAAGCUGUCGCAAAUCAUCCAUUUUGGAUAAUAAAUACAGUGUGCCACACAUUAAGCCCUUAACUCAAAAAACCAUGGGUACAAGAUUAUAACAGACCCACAGAGAGAAAAGCAAAAAAUAAAAUUAAAGCUGAGAUUAAUUCUCAAAAACAUAUAUGAUGAAGCAUGAAAUUGAGAUUUGUUUUUUUAAAAAAAUCAAAACUAAUCUAUGUUAACCAUUAAAACUUGUAACCUUAAUCAAGAGGCCAAAACCGACCAUAUAGAAGACAGAUCUUGAAAACUACAAAGCAAAAUUCUUAAUAAAAAAAAUAUGUUUAGAGAUGAAAUUAAAAAAAUAUUUAAAAAAAACAAUGAAAAAAAAUUAAAGUAAACUCGAGAUCAAGUUAACCCCACGACAAGGAAAGUGAAAAAAAAAAGCAUGAAGACCAAUAUAAAAAAAAAUUUGAAGGAUAAAAUUGAAAAUAAAUCAAAUUUAUAAACGAAUCUAGAAAACAAAUAUCAACCCAUAUUAAUUUUUGAAACCUGUGACUUGGCCAUAAGACUGUAGCUAACCUUAUAGAAGUGAAAAAACAAUGAAAAAAAAUUAUCAACAAAAAAAAUAUCAAGGAAUUAAAUUGGAACAAAAAUACAAUAAAAAAGCAUUCUAAGCAAAACAAUACAAUAAUAAAAAAUAGGAACCAAUCUCGAUAUAAAAAUAAAUUUAAAUCAAAUACUUAGAGAUACAAUUAAAAACAAAGUUUAAUUAGUAAAAAAGCAAAAAAAAUCAAUACAUUAAAGACCGGGUUUGAUAUGAAUAUCAAAUUAAAAUAAUGACAAAGAUAAAAAUAAAAAUAAAAAUUAAUUAAUAUAAGAUAAAAAAACAAAAAAACGUAAUAAUAAAAAAAUUUGAUUCAAAGGAUAUCAAAGUUGUUUUACUUUGUAUAAUGUAAAAAGACAAAUACAUCCCAUUAAUGUGUUAAUGCCCAAUAGACCCUUAUUAAAAGACCAAAAUAGUCUUUAGGUAUUUGGUUUGCUUUUAGAAAGAUAAAACAGAAAUGCUGGUGUAUUUAUUUUUUCAGUUAAAAAAUGCUUUAAAUUUAAUUAUAUAUAUGUUUUUAGAUUGUUUUGAUGAUAAAAAUAACUUUUAAAAAAUAAUAAAAAUCUAUAUUAAAAACUUUAAAAAACAUCUAUUAAUACAAUUUCAAAGAGUACGAGCCAGCUUCCCCAUCAAAUACUCGUUGUUAUACAUAGACAGCAAACAACAUACAGAAUUCACUUGCGGCUCUGUACUAGAGACAGCAUCAGUCAAUACCACCAGAUCUGGAAGAAUUUUUCAUUCGCAGCCAAAACCUACCAAUACUAAUAUAACUCGUAGUCAAUAGCAUCUUGCAACGACGAUCCCUCCGUAUCUUGUGAUCCUGCCCUGCAAAGAAAAGGGGCAGUGAUAAAAUAUAAAUGUAAAAUACAAUACACACACACACGCACCAAUCCAUAAUGAUCAUCUGCAAUGCCUUGCACCGACCCGUUUGGUUGCAUAACUAACCGUUGUUGCAAGUAAGGUACGCUCGUUGACGAACGGCGACGACGUCUUAUCUAAAAUAUACAUGAAACAUAUUUAUUUAUUUAAUCUUUCCUGUUUUUCUGAGAAUGAAAUGAAUUGGCUUGAUUAUUUACACUGCAGAUGAAUGAACCCUUUGUUUUCUGCAGAAGAGAAAAGGCCGAAGGGGGCAUUUUGAAUUUGGCACCCCUUAGUUUUGGGCUUCUGGCGGUCCCAUGUCCAGACCAUCCUUGGGCCUUUUGUUUUUGGGCUACACGAAGGGAAGUUGAGCGCUUAUGCUGAAAUCUUGUGCCCUUGUCUUCAGGGCUUCAAGCCGGCCAUCCCUAUGGCUAGGAGUCAGGAACUUUAAUUAUCGCGCCUAAAUUUUAAUUUGUUUUUUUUUAAGUUAUAAAACAGAUUGUGAGAUUUUUUUAGAAAAAUAAAAUAAUCUUUAAAUAAAACGUGAAGCAUUAUCUUUAUCUGAUUUAAUAAUAAAUAAACGAAUUUAAUAGUAUGGCUCAUUUUUCAUUAAUUUAUAAUGGUUUAGAUUCUUUUUCAUAUCUAUGUAAUAACCAGUUUUCUCAUAUGUAUUCUUAAAUUAGAGAAUUUCGAAGAGCUUUUAUUUCUUAUCCAUAUAAUAGAAUGGAGUGGUUGUUGUUAUCGUCCUCGUCGUCAUGAUGGGAGGAUAGUAAUAUAUCAGGUAUUAAUGAAGUCAUCGAUUUUCAUGUAAAAAAAUUUACAAUAAUAAUUCAAUUUCGAAAUAAAAAACUCUCAUUCGCUAGCUAUAUAUAUAUAUACACAUGGAAUACAGGAUAAGAAGCUAAAGCCACAAAAGCAUUUAGAUCAGGAAGUAUCAAUGGAUGAACCUCACGAGCUCCACAUAGCCAUGUUCCCAUGGCUUGCUUUCGGUCAUAUAAUCCCAUAUCUAGAGAUCGCCAAGCUAACAUCCAACGUUUACCAACUAUACCUCCAAAUUUAACACCGCGAAUCAAUUUUUAAUGCAUGGACCAUAUCCUUCUCUGGACCAUCAUCCUCAGCUAUGCUCAACGGCGACGAUCCAAGGACCGAACCGCAACACCUCACGGUCCCUCCAAAGUGGGUCACAUUU